rnacentral:rRNA from 1 species
GACGAACGCUGGCGGCGUGCUUAACACAUGCAAGUCGAACGGAAAGGCCUCUUUCGGGGGGUACUCGAGUGGCGAACGGGUGAGUAACACGUGAGUAACCUGCCCUUGACUUUGGGAUAACUUCAGGAAACUGGGGCUAAUACCGGAUAGGAGCUCCUGCUGCAUGGUGGGGGUUGGAAAGUUUCGGCGGUUGGGGAUGGACUCGCGGCUUAUCAGCUUGUUGGUGGGGUAGUGGCUUACCAAGGCUUUGACGGGUAGCCGGCCCGAGAGGGUGACCGGCCACAUUGGGACUGAGAUACGGCCCAGACUCCUACGGGAGGCAGCGGUGGGGAAUAUUGCACAAUGGGUGGAAGCCUGAUGCAGCAACGCCGUGUGCGGGAUGACGGCCUUCGGGUUGUAAACCGCUUUCGCUCAUGACGAAGCUUUGUGUGACGGUAGUGGGUAAAGAAGCACCGGCUAACUACGUG